rnacentral:lncRNA from 1 species
UGGUAUAUUUGCAUUUUUCCAAAUGUUAUUAACUAUUAGAACAAUUAAACUAUAUAUAUAUAUAUAUAUAUAUAUUCUUCUUCUUCUUCUUUCGAUAGUUGGCACCAUGACCACACCCAAUCCCCACCUCAACCAAACCAAAACUUCAUCUUCUUCUCAAAGCCGUUGGCAUCACCACAGCCUACACGCCAACAACUAAUCAGCUACCUCCCAAAAUCACCACCAUUCCACAGCCUUCAACCACUGCCCAAACUGCCAUUUCCCUACCUACCAACCACUACCUAAACGAACCCAACCUAACCUCCACCCCACGCCCAACCAACAUCCGACGAAACACAAUCCAAAGCCACUGACUGCCACCACCAAACCCACAAUCGACUCGGUGGACAACCCGUCUAUCUCAAAUUAAUCAGUUCAAGUCUACAAGAAAUUACCGUUGGAAAAUCCCACCACCACCAUCUCCAUAGCGACUGCAACAUAGAAAAUUCGGUCGAAGCACUGACCAAUAUGAUGCGCUUUCCUUAUUUGAAACCCUCCAAGCAAAUCAAGCUAUUUCUAUAAUCGAGAUGCACUUUUCCCUCGUUGAAACCAAAUAGCACUGUCCUUAUGUUUGGUGCAGAGAAUCCCCUCCGUGAAUCCAUGGCUCUUGGUUUGGAUCUUGCUAAGAAAUCACAAAAUUGGUCGGCGGCUUUGGAAGGAAUAGAAGUGGAAGGUGAUGGUUUGAUUUAGUGGAGGUGGCUUUGGUUUUUGUGUGGCCGUGGGUCUAGUGGUGGCGGUCGACGGCUUCAGAUUAUGGUGGGUUGGGGGUAGGGGUGGAGGCAGGGAAGAAGAUGGAGAUAGUGGGCUUUCUUUUUUUAGUUUAAUUGUUAAUAAUGUUAAAAAACUGUUAAUUCUAA